rnacentral:piRNA from 1 species
UCUGCAGACCUCUGUAGAUGGAUCAGUGC